rnacentral:rRNA from 1 species
GUGUCAGCAGCCGCGGUAAUACGUAGGUGGCAAGCGUUAUCCGGAAUUACUGGGCGUAAAGCGCACGCAGGUGGCAUGUUAAGUCUGACGUGAAAGCUCCUGGCUUAACUGGGAGAGGUCGUUGGAGACUGGCAGGCUUGAGGUAAGGAGAGGGGUGCAGAAUUCCCGGUGUAGUGGUGGAAUGCGUAGAUAUCGGGAGGAAUACCAGUGGCGAAAGCGGCACCCUGGCCUUGGCCUGACGCUCAGGUGCGAAAGCGUGGGGAGCGAACGGGAUUAGAUACCCGAGUAGUCC